rnacentral:rRNA from 1 species
CGCCUGUUUAUUAAAAACAUAGUUUAUUAAAAUUUUUAAAAAAUAAAUUCUGCCAAUUGAAUGAAUUUUAAAAGGCCGCAGUAUUUUGACUGUGCUAAGGUAGCAUAAUAAUUAGAUUUUUAAUUGAAAUCUAGAAUGAAAGGUUUAAUGAAAUAAAUACUUUUUUAUUUUAAUAAAUUAAAUUUUAUUUUUUAGUUAAAAAGCUAAAAUUUUUAAAAGGGACGAGAAGACCCUAUAGAAUUUUAUAAUAAAAAAAUUAUUUUUAAUUAAUUAAUUUUUAUUUAAUUUUUUUUAAUUAUUUUAUUGGGGUGAUAAUUAAAUUUAUUUAACUUUUAUUAUUUUUAUCAUUUAUAAAUGUUUUUUUGAUCUUUUUUUAUUGAUUAAAAAUAUAAAUUACCUUAGGGAUAACAGCAUAAUUUUAUUUUAAAGUUCUUAUUUUUAAUAAUGUUUAUGACCUCGAUGUUGGAUUAAAUUUAUUUUUAUAUGAAGAAAUAUAAAU